rnacentral:hammerhead_ribozyme from 1 species
CUGCUGCUGAUGAGACCCAACCAGAUCGAAACAACUGUCCAACAC